GACGAACGCUGGCGGCAGGCCUACCACAUGCAAGUCGAACGAGUGGCGGACGGGUGAGUAAUGUCUGGGAAACUGCCUGAUGGAGGGGGAUAACUACUGGAAACGGUAGCUAAUACCGCAUACCAUCGGAUGUGCCCAGAUGGGAUUAGCUAGUAGGUGGGGUAAAUGCUUACCUAGGCGACGAUCCCGAGCUGGUCUGAGAGGAUGACCAGCCACACUGGAAAUGAGACACGGUCCAGAGUCCUACGGGAGCCAGCAGUGGGGAAUAUUGCACAAUGGGCGCAAGCCUGAUGCAGCCAUGCCGCGUGUAUGAAGAAGUCCUUCGGGGUGUAAAGUACUUUCAGCGGGGAGGCGUUACCCGCAGAAGAAGCACCGGCUAACUCCGUGCCAGCAGCCGCGGUAAUAC
rnacentral:rRNA from 1 species